CCAGACUCCUACGGGAGGCAGCAGUGAGGAAUAUUGGUCAAUGGCCGAGAGGCUGAACCAGCCAAGUCGCGUGGGGGAUGACGGCCCUACGGGUUGUAAACCUCUUUUGCCGGGGAGCAAAGAGCGGGACGCGUCCCGCCUCGAGAGUACCCGGAGAAAAAGCAUCGGCUAACUCCGUGCCAGCAGCCGCGGUAAUACGGAGGAUGCGAGCGUUAUCCGGAUUUAUUGGGUUUAAAGGGUGCGCAGGCGGACGCGUAUGUCAGAGGAAAAUUGGGGGGGCCCACCCUCUCCCCGCCGUUGAAACUGCGUUUCUUGAGUGGGCGAGAAGUACGCGGAAUGCGUGGUGUAGCGGUGAAAUGCAUAGAUAUCACGCAGAACUCCGAUUGCGAAGGCAGCGUACCGGCGCCCAACUGACGCUCAUGCACGAAAGCGUGGGUAUCGAACAGGAUUAGAUACCCCAGUAC
rnacentral:rRNA from 1 species